rnacentral:rRNA from 1 species
CAAUAGCGUAUAUUAAAGUUGUUGCGGUUAAAAAGCUCGUAGUUGGAUUUCUGCUGAGAACGACCGGUCCGCCCUUUGGGUGUGUAUCUGGCUCUUUCUUGGCAUCUUCUUGGUGAACGUUGCUGCACUUGACUGUGUGGAGCGCUACCCAGGACUUUUACUUUGAGGAAAUUAGAGUGUUUCAAGCAGGCAUACGCCUUGAAUACAUUAGCAUGGAAUAAUAAGAUAGGACCUCGGUUCUAUUUUAUUGGUUUCUAGAGCUGAGGUAAUGAUUAAUAGGGAUAGUUGGGGGCAUUCGUAUUUAACUGUCAGAGGUGAAAUUCUUGGAUUUACGCAAGACAAACAGCUACGAAAGCGUCUGCCAAGGAUGUUUUCAUUAA